rnacentral:tRNA from 1 species
CCGGGGCCUAACAAUGGGAAUGUUAGAUUUUACCACUAAACUACUUACGCCAG